rnacentral:lncRNA from 1 species
CUCACUUCACAUGGAGGCCAGAAGUCAAAAGGUCAACACUUCAAUCUUCAUCUUCUUCUUCUUCUUCUUCUUCAUCCUCUUAGCAUCUCACCUCUCACUCGCAGCUCCAACAACCACAUGGGUCGGCUCAAAAUACCAGAUCGAAUGCACAAUGUGUGCCGCCUGUGACAACCCAUGCGACCAACAACCACCACCAUCACCACCGCCGCCGCAACCAGUCUACCCUCCACCGCCUCCACCUCCCACCUCUACCGGCGGCGGCUACUACUACUCUCCACCACCUCCCACAUCCGGAACAGGAGGUGGUUACUACUAUUCUCCACCACCACCAUCUCAGGGAGUUUACUACUACUACCCACCACCGGCGUCGUACAAGAACUACCCCACCUCAACACCACCGAACCCAAUUAUGAAUUACUACCCGUAUUAUUAUUACAACCCUCCAAUGCCUAACUCCUCCGCCGUGUCACUUGCCGGCGCCACCACUAUGUUACUAAUCAAUAUGCUUUUC